GAUGAACGCUAGCGGCAGGCUUAAUACAUGCAAGUCGAGGGGCAGCAUGAUUGUAGCAAUACAAUUGAUGGCGACCGGCAAACGGGUGCGGAACACGUACACAACCUUCCAACAAGUGGGGGAUAGCCCAGAGAAAUUUGGAUUAAUACCCCGUAACAUAGCGAUGUGGCAUCAAAUUGCUAUUAUAGAUUUUUCGCUUGUUGGUGGGUGUGCGGCUGACUGGAUAGUUGGCGGGGUAACGGACCACCAAGUCUACGAUCAGUAGCUGAUGUGAGAGCAUGAUCAGCCACACGGGCACUGAGACACGGGCCCGACUCCUACGGGAGGCAGCAGUAAGGAAUAUUGGACAAUGGACGCAAGUCUGAUCCAGCCAUGCCGCGUGAAGGAUUAAGGUCCUCUGGAUUGUAAACUUCUUUUAUAAGGGACGAAAAAAGGCUUUUCUAAGUCGUCUGACGGUACCUUAUGAAUAAGCACCGGCUAACUCCGUGCCAGCCGCCGCAGUAACAC
rnacentral:rRNA from 1 species